GACGAACGCUGGCGGCGUGCUUAACACAUGCAAGUCGAACGGAAAGGCCCUGCUUUUGUGGGGUGCUCGAGUGGCGAACGGGGGAGUAACACGUGAGUAACCUGCCCUUGACUUUGGGAUAACUUCAGGAAACUGGGGCUACUACCGGAUAGGAGCUCCUGCUCCAGGGUGGGGGGUGGAACGUUUCGGCGGUUGGGGAUGGACUCGCGGGUUAUCGGCUUGUUGGUGGGGUAGUGGCUUACCAAGGCUUGGGCGGGUACGCGGCCUGAGAGGGUGACCGGGCACAUGGGGACUGAGAGACGGCCCAGACUCCUAUGGGAGGCAGUAGUGGGGAAUAUUGCACAAUGGGCGGACGCCUGAGGCAGCAACGCCGCGUGCGGGAUGACGGCUUUCUGGUUGUAAACCGCUUUCGCCUGUGACGAAGCGUGAGUGACGGUAAUGGGUAAAGAAGCACCGGCUAACUACGUG
rnacentral:rRNA from 1 species